rnacentral:rRNA from 1 species
GUGCCAGCAGCCGCGGUAAUACGGAGGGUGCAAGCGUUAUCCGGAUUCACUGGGUUUAAAGGGUGCGUAGGAGGGCAGGGAAGUCCGUGGUGAAAUCUCCGAGCUUAACUCGGAAACUGCCGUGGAUACUCUCUGUCUUGAAUCCCGUGGAGAUGAGCGGAAUAUGUCAUGUAGCGGUGAAAUGCUUAGAUAUGACAUAGAACACCAAUUGCGAAGGCAGCUCGUUACACGAAGAUUGACUCUGAGGCACGAAAGCGUGGGGAUCAAACAGGAUUAGAAACCCCCGUAGUCC